AUUUUACUGAGGAAGCAGCCCGGUUUUAUGCUUCGGAAGUUUUGCUGGCCCUGGAGUAUCUACACAUGUUAGGCAUUGUUUAUAGGGAUUUGAAGCCAGAAAAUGUCCUAGUAAGAAAUGAAGGUCAUAUAAUGCUCUCCGAUUUUGACCUCUCACUUCGCUGCUCCGUCAAUCCAACUCUUGUCAAGUCCUCAUCUGCAAAUGUAAGCAAUGGCGGAGGGAAUGGCGGUGGAGGCAUUUUGGACGAUGAAUUUGCGGUGCACGGUUGUAUGCAACCUUCAACAUUUUUCCCUCGCAUUUUGCCUAGCAAAAAGAAUCAUAAAUCCAAAUCAGACUUUAGCCUCUUCGUCGGAGGCUCCCUCCCAGAACUAAUGGCAGAGCCAACAAAUGUACGCUCUAUGUCAUUUGUAGGCACCCAUGAAUAUUUAGCCCCAGAGAUCAUUCGCGGAGAGGGUCAUGGCAGUGCAGUGGACUGGUGGACUUUUGGGAUCUUUUUAUACGAGCUGUUGCAUGGAACAACUCCCUUUAAAGGCUCAGGAAAUAGGGCUACCCUAUUCAAUGUUGUAGGGCAGCCAUUGAGAUUCCCAGAUACACCACAAGUGAGCUUUGGAGCUCGAGAUCUGAUUAGAGGUCUUCUGGUGAAGGAACCCCAUAAACGCAUUGCGUGUAAAAGGGGAGCCACGGAGAUAAAACAACAUCCAUUUUUUGAAGGGGUGAACUGGGCUCUGGUCAGAAGUGCCAUGCCUCCACACGUACCUGAACCAGUAGACUUCUCACAAUAUGCUAGCAAAGAGCCACCGCCAGCUGCUGAUAACAAGAUGGCAGAUAGUGGAGUCGAUAAAAACAAUGGUAGUCCUCAUCAUCAUGAUUCUUCCUACAUAGAAUUUGAAUACUUCUAGGAUUAUUAAGGGUUCAAUUAAGACUCCUAUUUCGUAUUUUCAUCUUUGAAGGGAAAUUUUAAGUUGUACAAGAAAAAGUGGUUGAGCCCUGAUAAGACAUAAUACUGAGAGUAAAUAUGUCUGAGAAGACUUUUGUUGAUUAAUAUAUAUAUAUAGACAUGUAUA
rnacentral:misc_RNA from 1 species